CAGCCGCUCACGGGAGGAGGGCCGGGGUGUGCUGUUUAUUGUGGCGCCACCCCGCCUACCACGAGGUGCCUGGAGGGGUGCGGUGGGCCCCGGGCUGAGGGCCACUAGCUCAGUGGAGGUGUUGUGAGGCAGGGAGGCUCCCAGAGGCGCUCCUCACCGAGCCUUGGGUUUUGCCCCUCGUGCCACACAGCCGUGGCGGGGGCUGUCUCGGCUGCUGUUGCUGCUGAUCUGACGUCUGGCCCUUGAGCAGAGCCAGGCCGGCGAUGUCUUUGAAUGUGAAAGAACCGUCCGGCCUGCCUGGGGUGGGUUUUCCCAGGCUGUAGCCCUGGCUGGAGCGGCAGCGCCAGCCUCUUGCCUGGCCGAGAGCGGGCCCAGCCCCGCGUGGCCGUAUCGGGAGUCACAGUGCAGGUUGCUGAGGUUGGCGCUGCCCGGUUGGGUCUGGCCAGCCGGGUCCUCCUGCUCCCUCCGCGUCUUCAGCCCUUGGUUCACGCGGGGUCUGGGCCUGGCAUCCCGGUAGAACACUGGGGUCGCAGCCGCCAGGUCAGUGCCCACAUCUGCUGGCUGCCCAGCCUUGCCUUGGUCCUGGCCGGGCAGCACGGGGCAGGCGUGUGCUGGGGCAGGAAGCAGGUCCCUGUGUAGACCUCAUUGUUUGGUUUUCUUUGCAGUUUGAAGAGGGCGAGGAAGGAGAAGAGGAGGAGUUGGAAGGUGAUGAGGAGGGAGAAGAGGAGGAUGAUGCCGAAAUGAACCCCAAGAAGGAGCCCAGCCAGCCCUCUGAGUGCAAGCAGCAGUGAGCACGCCCUGGGCGCCGGCCGCGCCGAGGCCCCUGCAUGGUCUCCGCCCAGCUUCCCCCUCGUAGUCUUUUGCUUAGCCUGUACAGUGGCACCUCGAGUGCGCGUGCGCAGUAGGAGGUUUCACGCCUGCACCCUGGACGGCCUGGGCCCAGCUCCGACGACUGACCGGGCCCGGCGGCGGCUGGGGACCCAGGCAGAGA